rnacentral:lncRNA from 1 species
UUUUUUUUUAGGGGGCGAAGCCAUGCCAAAUUGCAUCCCCACGUACCCUUGUUUCUAUAGAGCUGCAAUUGCGCAGCUGUAGUGUAUUAGUUAUCUAGAAAUAGAACGUCAAAUUUUACCAAUAGUUAGAUCUUGUCGUUAGCUUCCUCGGGACAGUAGGCACGCUUUGUUUGGAGAGAAAACAAGAAAGUUGUGGUGGUUUUAGUGACAAGGAGGUCAGCUGCCGGCCAGAUCUGGAGGUCCGACUUUGGAAGGCGAGUGUUGGCGGACAGUAUUGAAUUUGGAGCUGAAACUUUUGUGGAGGAUGGUCCUUGUUGUCAGCUUUUCAAGGACUAUUUGCACGCUUAGAUUGAGUAAAGGCCAAGGAAGUUAUGGUGGUUGGAGUGAAGAGGAGUCGGCCGUGGUGAAGAUGUAGCACUCCGCCAACUCAAGCUACUUUGGAAGGUCAUAUCUUGGAAUUCACUCAAGAUUUUCAAGAAAAAAUUAUUGGAGGUGAUGCGGCUUCAAUUCUAGUUUUUGGAAUGCUAAAGCAUAUGCGUUGCACAACUGGAAUGGAGCAAGGGCAAGGGUUUUUGUGGCUAGGGGUGCUCUGACUAGGCCGAGAAAGUCAGGCAACUUUGAGGCAAGUUUUCUCUUAGCUUAAUUGUUGUUUUGCAUUGAAUUUUGUUCGAGGACAAGCGCUUGUAAGUCUACUUUCUAAAAUAACAAAGCUUGUUAUAAACAAGUUAGUGAUGCAACCAUUGUAGUGGAAUUCGUGCAAGGGGGUCGCUACCAUGACUUGGAAGGUGGCGACUUCCAAUUUUCUUUAAUUUUUAGGAUGAAACUUGGAUGAAUUAGGUCAAUUGCACGAAUUGUCAGUUAGAUGAUAAGUUGACUUAUGGUUGGAUGAAUGAAUCUUUAGAUGAAAAUUGGAUGAACAAACUUUGAAUGAAUGAAUGUUAUAAGAUGAAUGAGAUUUAAGGGAUGGAUGAUUGAUGAAGGGAAAUUUAGGAUGAAUGAACUUAGGGUUUAUGGAUGAACUUAGGGUUUUUGGAUGAACUUAGGGUUUCUAGAUGAACUUAGGGUAUCUGGAUGAACUUAGGGUUUUUGGAAGAACUUAGGAUUUAUGGAUGAACUUAGGAUUUAUGAAUGAACUUAGGGUUUAUAAAAAUUAUGUGUGAUUGAAGUUAAUCCAGUUAACUACUAAACGCAAUUAAGGGUGGAGGAAUUUAGCUCACAUAAAUGGUGCGUUUGCCGGGAGCCGAUCUUAGAGACGUUGUCUAAUAAUUUUUUUUUUUUUUUUUUUUUUUUUUGAGUUGAGAUGAUUGAUUACAUGGAGGAAGGAGAUAAUAGGAGCAAGAUGAUGGGGUUGUGAUUGGAAGGAGCACAGCAGAAAGGUAUGUGGGUCUUGGGAAUAUCUAUGGUAGUUUGUACUAGAAACCUUAGCAUGUGAUCGAGAGGUCGGUGGUAUACUAAUUGUGGAGGAAGCUGGAAUUGCAUGAGGUAAGCCAUGAUACAUUGAAUGAUCUAUGUUAACUUAGGAUUAUAAUUCGUCGUUGUCGUUACCUUGUUAGUAGGUAAUGCCUUGGCAGUGAGUUGAAUUGAGAACGAGGGGGGUUCUGGCCGCGAAGGCAGAAUCACAAUGUCUCGUUUACUGACCGGGUAAGCCCCACAAUAUAGAUUGUACCGUAUGCCAAGAUUGGACUAGCGGGCUGGUUUGCCUUGGUGAAUUCCAUGUCAUCGCUCGUAAAUACUAUCUUGGUGGUUUGCGUUCCCUACCCACCUGAGGAUAGGCUAAAUUAUUAAUUAUCAAUUUCAAAAUUUCAAAAAAAAUAAAAAUAAAAAUAAAAAUAAAAUGGGUUGGUAGGUAAUGAGAGAAGGUCAGUGAAGACGUUUAGAUGUUCCCGAAAACUAGAUCUCAAAAACCUACUUUGAACCAAGGACUUGAACGUAUUAGAAGACGUGGAGGCAAGGUCGUGGAUAACAAGGAAGCAGCCCCUUCUCGGAAUACACUCAUUAAUAGUAGAAGCAAUGAAGAAUUUCUUGGAGGAGACAUUAGAAGGAAUUUAGAAAAGGCUUUAUGAGAUGUCGGGGGCAGUGAGCUAUUGGAGGAGUUGAAAGUGGAGGAGUUAGAGAUAGAACACGUAGUCCCUGAAGACGAAGUAUUUGGAGACGUGAACCUUAGGAAAAUAGGAGAACAUGAUAGGACCUUGGACUUUGUGCCUGCGGUCGAAGGAUUUGUUCACGAGAUGGCGACGGAGCGGCUUCCAGCUUUGGAUCCCUUAGUUAAGCCACGAGGUUUGCCCGUGGCUAUGCUAAUAGGGCUAUUAGCGGCCACAGUUCCAGGGAAUCUCUCCAAGUUCUAUGGCACCAAGGACGAGGAUCCAACCCUACACAUGGAGAGGUACAUAGAGAUUUUGACAACAUCCCUCAUUAGGAACGAGGGAUAUUACCUGGUUUGGUUCCCCGGAACCUUACACGGUGAGGCUUACAUUUGGUACCGGGAUCAUGAUGAGGGACAUUUUAACACGUGGUCCUAGUUGCAAGUAGCCUUCUUAAACCACUUUAGGCUGGAGGUUGGACAAAGUACAGCCUUGAGAGCACUGGGAGCGGUACGACAGCAAAGAGACGAGGAAAUGGCUAACUACAUCAGGAGGUUUGACUUGGUCUGCAUGCGUUAUGUAGGAGGAUUGUUGAAUGGCGAUACGUUUAAGCAAUUCUUCAUUGAAGGAUUUGUUAAUCAAUCUACAAUCAAGGGAGUAUUAGAGAGAAACCCAACCACUUUGGAGGAAGCCAAAACAGCGGUGCGCGUUGUAGAUUUAAUCGAGAGAAGUUAUGAAAGGCAUUGGAGGAAGGAAGAUGAGUCUAUCUCGGGGUUUAUUCCAAUUAAUCCCGUAAGCCAAGCGAUAGGACCAAGCACGUCAAAUACACCUUCGAUAGUCGACAAUGGUGCCCAAUAUUACAAUGUUAUGCCCACGGCCACCAGAGCUCCAGUACCCUUAUUGGCGUUACCAGAGCCACAAUUGGAGAGGAGAGUGGAGGACUUGGAGAAGAAAAUACAGGCCGGACAAGAAGAUUUUCAAGACUCCAUGAUGAAGCAGAUCCAAGCCUUGACUGAGCAGAUGGCAUUCAUGGUAAAGAAUCAAAAUUCAAACACCCCACCUCCUCGGAUAGAGUCUGGUAACCAUAACUCGGGGGUUUGGUGCACUAUUUGUGGCCAAAAUGGGCAUUCAUCUCUUCAGUGCCGAGUAAGGCCUCAAAGUAAUCCAAAUCUUCAACCAUACCAGCCAACACAGAGCUAUGGAAGAGAUAGAGGACCUCAACAGUGGCAAGGAGGUUAUCAAGGUGGUCCUCAAGGAUAUGGUAGAAGUGGCAAGCCUCGGAAGGAGUACCAUGAGCUUUGCAGGAGAUGGCAUGAGCCGGGUCAGUGCUGGGAUGAUGGCCAACCAUGGCCGUGUGGCAAUUGUGGUGGCAAUCACCCUACCCAUGAAUGUAGACAACUUGAUAAGGUAAUUCAACUACCACUACGAAUAACAAAUCCUUAUGAGAACGCGCGGAAUAACAUGAGAGAUCAGAGACGACCUCAUGGUGAUGAUUAGAGGGGCCUAAAACCUCCUAAUCUCUACUACAACUAUGAGGAUUUCUAACAAAACCAUCAACCUCCAGAAGGGUUACAAAUCCGCCAAGGUUAUAUCCCAGUUGCCCAAAAUCAACAAGGCAGCUAUCGAAACUAUGCAAACGAGAAACAAGGUCCAUCUUCUAACCAAGAUGUUAGAGUAGCAGAAGAGGUCUUAUUGAAGGGUCCUGCACCAUCUCUAGCAAAGACCACAGUGGUGAUUGAAGAACAUGAAGCACCUUCUAAUUUAGUGACCCACGAAUUGAAGGAAGACGGAGGCGGUGGCCAUGAGAAUGCUACUUUGGCUGUGAUUAUCCGAGGGCAAGCUCAUAGGCAAUCACCAAUCGAUGAAGAAGACUCAGAUGGUAGUGAGUCUGAAAAGUUGUUGGAUUUAGUAGCUCUUGAGGCGGCUGCAAAGGAGGCGGCAAGAAUUACAAGGGAGGUAGGUGCUGCGCUAGGUGAUGAAAGGUCAUCUGAAGGCUUUGAUCCAGGUAAAGGGUUAGAACCGGGUGAAUGGGAGGAUCCAGAUAUUCCAGAGGAGGACUUUGGAGGGUUGGGUCGUACGACGCCAACCUCUUAUCAGAAGUAUGAUCUCUGGAGGGACUUGCGGAGGAUAAAGGCUAACAUCUCAAUUGCUCAACUAUUGGAGAUAUCUCCUUUGAUGAGGAAGAGUUUCAAAGAAGGCUUGCCUAGGGCGAAGAAGAAGAAGAAGACUCAGAAGAGGACAGUGGCUAGGGUACAAGCAUCUAUUAGGCCAGUGGAUGUGAAGGCAGUGGAGAUCGAGGUCACUAUCGUAGACAAGGUGGUUUCAAAUGUGCUCAUUGAUGGAGGUAGUGGGCUUAACAUCAUGCCACUUCAUACCAUGAAGAAGUUGGGGUUGAAUUUAACCGGACCUUCACCAUUUGUAUUAAACAUGACAGAUCAGAGUCCUGCUAGGUCUUUAGGCCAGAUCACGAACUGUAAAAUCUCUACAGGAGGGGAGAAUUACUUAGUGACCUCCCAUGUUAUCAGAAUGCACACUUCCAAAGAAUCUUUUCCACUUCUCUUAGGUCGUCCGUGGUUGAGGAUGGCCAAUGCCACCAUCAUAUGGGGUGGUAAUAAGCUCUCCAUAGUUUACUGUCCAUAUGAAAACCCCACUAAAGUUAGAAUCAAGCCUUUGAUAGGACUCGAGGUGGUUGACACCAUAUCUAUUGGAGAAGGCACACCAUUAAAAUCCGUGGAUGGGAUGACGUUUGAAGCUGAGGUUCAAACCUUGAAGUGUCUUGGUCCAAAUCUCUACCAUUGGUCAGACAAUGGAGAGUAUGCCAAGUGGCUCCAAGACAACCCUGAUUCUUCAUCAGAAUUGAUGGCAGGAUUGAAUCUCAUUGGAAUAGAGUUAGACGAUGGUUUGACACCUUUAAUUGAGGUAGAUGUCCAUUUGAUUGGAAUAGAGGAUGUUGAAGGAGUAGAGGUUUUAGAAGAAAGUGAGCAUUUGGGAGGAUCAUUGAAAUUUAAGACUGGUUCUUCAGGAAUUACGGUUGGAGAAGACGUUUUCAAUUAUUCCAAUGUGCCUUCGGAUUGGUAUCGAGAUAACAAUGAGCAAUCUCACGUUGCUAAGGUAGACUGAAAGUUUGUGACAGUGGAGUUUGAAGGAGAAGAACCAAGACAAAUGAAGAUGGGAAGCCAACUAGAGGAUGAAGAGAUCUAAGCCUACUGUGAGUUGGUAAGAGAGUAUCAGAAGGUCUUUGCAUGGUCUUACAAGGAGUUAAAGGGGAUUCCUCUUGAGAUUGUAGAACAUCAAAUUUCCUUGAUGAUCGGUACAGUGCCGAUCAGGCAAAAAGAGAAGAGAAUGAAUCCUCAGCUUCAAUUGAUUGUGAAAGAGGAACUGGAGAAAUUACUCCAAGCAGGUUUUAUUAAACCUGUUGAGAUCACAGAUUGGGUCUCUCCCAUGGUGCUUGUAAAGAAGAAGAAUGGUAAACUUAGGGUGUGUGUGGAUUAUAGGAAGUUGAAUUUUUGCACCCAAAAAGACCACUUUCUCUUGCCAUUUAUCACUAGCAUCUUGGAAGAAGUGGCAGGUCACGAUUUAUACACAUUUAUGGAUGGAUAUUCUGGAUACAACCAAGUAUCUAUUGCACCUGAAGAUCGAUACAAGACUGCAUUUACAAUACCUUGGGGGACGUUUGUGUGGCAUGUGAUGCCAUUUGGAUUAUGUAACGCCCCUUCUACUUUCCAACGUCUGGUGAUGUCUAUCUUCUCAGACUUGUUAUACAAAUCAAUGACCGUGUUCAUUGAUGAUUUCAGCACCCAAUCUGAUGCAGAUUCUCACAUUCAUUUGGUGAAAGAAAGCUUAGAGAGGUGCAAGAAAGCUCGAAUGGCCCUGAAUCCAGAAAAAACCUAUCUUGCCUUGAUUAGAGGCAUUUUGUUGGGAUAUAUGGUUAGUAAGAGGGGUCGUGAGCCCGAGCCAGAAAAGGUGAAGGUAAUUCAGAAUUUAUCACCUCCUACCAGUGUGAAGGAAGUGCAACGUGUAUUGGGACACACUGGUUGGUAUAGGGAGUUGAUUGAAGAUUACGCCACUAUUACCCUUCCCAUCACUAGCCUUCAGAAGAAAGGCACCAAAUUUAUAUGGACUCAGGCUUGUAAUGAUGCUUUCGAGGUUCUAAAGAAGGAAUUGUCUUCUUAUCCAAUAUUGAGGCCCCCGAGGUGGGACUUGCCUUUCCACAUCUAUUGUGAUGCAAGUGCGGUGGCGGUUGGCAGCAUUCUGUGCCAACUUGUAGAAGGCCCAAGCAAGGGCAAGGAUCAUCCAAUUGCCUACGUUAGUAGGCAAUUAAAUCUUGCAGAGAAAAAUUAUUCCACCACUGAGAGGGAAUGUCUAGCCAUGGUGUUCUCAGCUAAGAAGUUUAGACAUUAUAUGUUGAGCAACAAAGUGGUUUUUUAUGUGGAUUACAUGGCCAUCAAGUAUUUGGUUAACAAACCUGAGUUGAGCGGUCGGCUAGCUAGGUGGGUCUUGUUGCUACAAGAGUUUGAUUACACUGUGGAGUACAAACCUGGAUCCGUACACAAACAAGCAGAUCACAUGUCGAGAUUGCCUGGAGGAAUGGAGACCCACCCGAUUGAUGAUAGAUUGAUAGACGAGAGUCUUUUCUUGGUGACAGCUAGACCGGCAUGGUAUUCUAGGAUUAUUGAGUUCUUGACUACUCAACAAUUGCCAGUGGAUUUAUCUAAGGACGAGAGGCGGAAGAUUCGGGUCAAUAGUCGUCAUUAUGUGGUGUUAGGGAACCGGUUGUAUUGACGUGGAUUGGAUGGAGUGUUAAGACGUUGUGUGAUGGAAGAUGAGGUUCCUUCCAUUUUGUCGGCUUGUCAUGACAGUGCAUGUGGCGGACAUUUUUCUGGCCAAUUGACUGGUCAGAAAAUUCUUAGGGCUGGUUAAUACUGGUCAAUACUCUUCAAAGACGCUCAUACCUAUGUGAGGCGUUGUGAUGCAUGUCAGAGAUUUGUUAGGAAUGACAUUCACAUGUAGUUGCCGCUUCACAUUUUCCUACUAUUGGUGUCAUUCGAGAAGUGGGGCAUCGAUUACGUGGGAGAGAUUCAUCUUCAUUCAUCUCGAGGAAUGACAUAUAUUGUAGUGGCCACUGAAUAUCUCACUAAGUGGGCUGAAGCCAAGGCUGUGAGGACAAAUGAUGCCAAGAAUGCUGCAAUCUUUCUCUUUGAGAAUGUGAUUACUAGAUUUGGAGUCCCAAAGAUCCUUGUGAGUGAUCAAGGUACUCAUUUCCUCAACGAGGUGAUUGAAUCCAUGAUUGAACGAUUCCAGAUUGAUCAUCGGAAGACUACAUCCUAUCACCCUCAAACCAAUGGUCAGACAGAGCGAGUCAACCAAACACUUGGUACUAUAUUGAGGAAAACUGUUAGAGACUCCAAGCGUGAUUGGGAUGUGAAACUGCCAGCCGCCUUAUGGGCAUAUAGAACAACAUUCAAGGUCACCACGCAGGCUACGCCAUUCUCUCUAGUCUAUGGACUGGAAGCAGUUUUACUAAUUGAAUUUGAGGUUCCAUCCCUUCGGAUUGCAGUAGAUUCCAGAUUGACUGACAGACAAUCUUUAAAGACAAGGUUGUACGAGCUCGAGGCGUUGGAUGAGAGCAGAAGACGAAGGGCUCAACACAUUGAGGCCAUCCAGAGGCGGCGCAAGGUCGUAUUUGAUAAACGAAACAAGACUCGGGUCUUGCAACCUGGUAUGCUUGUAUUGUUACAAGAUGCUCGGAAGAUCGACUUUCCAAGCAAGUUUGAUGCCGUAUGGUUGGGUCCUUAUCUUGUCAAGGAGGUGUUUUUAAACAACUCCGUACAAUUGGAGACCUUGAAUGGUCAAUUGUUUCCUACACGAACAUCAGGUAGCAGGUGUAAAGAAUAUAAGACAUGAGGGAGCGCAAUUUUGGGCAAGAGCUCCACCUUUCUAUUAUAUGACAAGGCAAUAGUAUGAACUGGCAUGGUGAAAAUACUUUAAAGGACAAAAAUUGGCAAGUACAAGCUGGAUUCGUCCCCUGAUGGUCGCCAAUUAUGUGAGCCCAAAAGUUGGUUCACUUUGUUGGUUAAACUAAAAAAAUCUAAAAAAAAUGAGGAUUUUGAUUAUGUUUUGUUAUAAUAAGUUAGUUAUAGACAUUAAUGUUAGUGGCUUAUUGAUGAUUAGUAGUGGAAAGAAAAAUCAAGGGAGAAGGGAGUGGUGGGAAAGAUAAGAAAAAGAACCAAAAGAAAAAAAAUAAAAAACAAAACAAAACAAAACAAAAAGGCCAAGAAGAAAGAAGGAAGAAGAUGAAGAGGGACAAGGAGAAGAAGAAAAAAAAGGAGAAGAAAAUAAUUAGAAGUAAAUUUAUUGUGAUGGGUUUGUCAAAUUGUUGGUUCUUAAUGAUCUAGAACUUAGAUUUGGGUGUAUGAAUAGUCAAACUUGAUGUUUAAAUAUGUUUUAAACACAUUGGUGGAGUUAGUUUUGUCAAAAAACGCUUCGAAUUGGAGAUUUUGGGCAUGUCCAGCACUAAAAUCGGGUUUAGGACUUAGGGUUAAUGUGGGCCCUUGAUCUUGAUUAGGGUUGGUGGAUUCGGAUGGUGGAGAUGUGGCCGCCACCCUUUGGUCUCUUCCUACUUGGAUAAGAGGGUGGAGGUGGCCACACUCGCUCUCUCUCUCUCUCUUUUUUUUUUAGGGGGCGAAGCCAUGCCAAAUUGCAUCCCCACGUACCCUUGUUUCUAUAGAGCUGCAAUUGCGCAGCUGUAGUGUAUUAGUUAUCUAGAAAUAGAACGUCAAAUUUUACCAAUAGUUAGAUCUUGUCGUUAGCUUCCUCGGGACAGUAGGCACGCUUUGUUUGGAGAGAAAACAAGAAAGUUGUGGUGGUUUUAGUGACAAGGAGGUCAGCUGCCGGCCAGAUCUGGAGGUCCGACUUUGGAAGGCGAGUGUUGGCGGACAGUAUUGAAUUUGGAGCUGAAACUUUUGUGGGGGAUGGUCCUUGUUGUCAGCUUUUCAAGGACUAUUUGCACGCUUAGAUUGAGUAAAGGCCAAGGAAGUUAUGGUGGUUGGAGUGAAGAGGAGUCGGCCGUGGUGAAGAUGUAGCACUCCGCCAACUCAAGCUACUUUGGAAGGUCAUAUCUUGGAAUUCACUCAAGAUUUUCAAGAAAAAAUUGUUGGAGGUGAUGCGGCUUCAAUUCUAGUUUUUGGAAUGCUAAAGCAUAUGCGUUGCACAACUGGAAUGGAGCAAGGGCAAGGGUUUUUGUGGCUAGGGGUGCUCUGACUAGGCCGAGAAAGUCAGGCAACUUUGAGGCAAGAUUUCUCUUAGCUUAAUUGUUGUUUUGCAUUGAAUUUUGUUCGAGGACAAGCGCUUGUAAGUCUACUUUUUAAAAUAGCAAAGCUUGUUAUAAACAAGUUAGUGAUGCAACCAUUGUAGUGGAAUUCGUGCAAGGGGGUCGCUACCAUGACUUGGAAGGUGGCGACUUCCAAUUUUCUUUAAUUUUUAGGAUGAAUCUUGGAUGAAUUAGGUCAAUUGCACGAAUUGUCAGUUGGAUGAUAAGUUGACUUAUGGUUGGAUGAAUGAAUCUUUAGAUGAAAAUUGGAUGAACAAACUUUGAAUGAAUGAAUGUUAUAAGAUGAAUGAAAUUUAAGGGAUGGAUGAUUGAUGAAGGGAAAUUUAGGAUGAAUGAACUUAGGGUUUAUGGAUGAACUUAGGGUUUCUAGAUGAACUUAGGGUUUCUAGAUGAACUUAGGGUUUCUGGAUGAAUUUAGGGUUUCUAGAUGAACUUAGGGUUUCUAGAUGAAUUUAGGGUUUAUGGAUGAACUUAGGAUUUAUGGAUGAACUUAGGGUUUAUGAAUGAACUUAGGGUUUAUAAAAAUUACGUGUGACUGAAGUUAAU